AUCUAUCUUCCUUCAUAUAUGGACUAUAGUAUUGACAGAUUAAAUUUUCUUUUCCUUCUGCUUUGUUAGAGUUGUGUUCAAGUCUCAUAUAAUCUUUUGUUUUAGUUAAAGAAUUGGGGAGAUGUUGAAGUAGCCUCCUUCCCAACUGCAAUAAAUCUGCAAGUAAUCAAACUGCAUGCUUUAGAGUUUGCCUAUGAAAAGCAGCUCAAGGUGUUUUGCAGUUGCUUCAAAAAUCUCCCAAUUUAUGUGAACUGGACAUUACAGGAUGUGAUGAACUAGAAGAUGAUGGCAUGGAUAAUGAUAUCAUGGAAGAUUAUGACAUAGAAGCUGCUUCAAGACUUUUGAAGGAUCCAGAAAGUUGCAUUAUUAAUCAGGAUCUAAAAGUGCUUAAAACAAUCAAGUUUAAAAUGUUUUGUGGAUCCACAAUUGAAAUGCUUCUUGUGAAAAUGUUGCUCUCAAAAUCUCCUAUACUAGAGAGAGUUGUUAUUACCGAAUCUGAUUAUAUAGAAGAUGGUUUCACGGUGAUCAAGUUCCUAAGGGAGUUGCUGUGCUUCCCUCGUGCAUCUCCAAAGGCACAAAUUGCCAUCAAGGGCAAAGACCCAUCAAGGGCAAAGAUUAUGUUUUAAGGACUGGUUGGUUUUGCCAUACUUCAGUUUGUAUGCAACUUAGAAAUGUAAGCAAUGGUGAUGGUGGAACUUGAAAUCUUUUGUUAGAUAAGGAUGGCACCUUAGAUUGUUUUCUAAGUUGUUCAGUAGACUCCAUGAAUAUCUUUUUUUAAAUUUUUGUUUCUGUUAAUUCACUUAAUUGCAUUAAAUUUUAUUUCAGAUGGUGUGAUGUUGAUGCUUAUUGCUUAGCCAAGUGUUUCUUAGGACUGAAAUGUAAUG